CACCUGGUGGCCUAUUGGAAAGGCUCGAGGAUAUCUAUCCCACAUUGAGCAAAUGGCCAAAGUGUGCUGAGGGUUGUCAGUUGAUGCUAGAUGUUAGCACACUGCUAACAUUGGUUGCAUCACUUUAAAUAAUCUAGUGCAUCCUUUUGGAUCCUCAAUCAAUAGUUGCCUUACUGCAGGAUCUAAUAGGCUAAGGUCUUGCCCCUCGAUAAUUUCUAUAGAUGUCUUCAUAUACUUUUCAAAGUGAUACUCUACU
rnacentral:lncRNA from 1 species